UAUGUAUUGGUUAGUGGUGAUAUUUGUGAUGGUAUGUGGUGAUGUAUGUGAUAUAAUGUGUUGAUGUGUGUGAUGGUGUGUGGUAAUGUGCGUGCAAUGUGUACUAUUAGAAAGACAAGCAUGUCCAUUUGUGAGUGAAUGAUUGAAUGCUGAUCAUUUGUUUUUCCUCAAUGUUUCCUGUAUCUUUUAAUACUUAAAUAUUUAUAUUGUGACUUGAAUGAUGCUGUUGAUUUCAGGCCAUACCUUGCGUCCAUCUUUACAGCAUUGAAAUGUGCUGAUAGUGACUACUCAGCAUUAUUUUCCUUGUGUCUGCUGUAUGCUAUAGGAUGUAAUCAAGGAAUUAAGCGAUCCCUUUUGGAGGGUGUCUGUUUGACAAGUCAGUCUAAAAAUAAACAAUAUUAUAAUAUGAUGUUGAUAGAGAAAUUGAUAACUGUGAUGAGUCAGGCUUGUCAGUAUAGCAAUACUAAGAUUCGACCUGUUACCUUAGAGAUGGCAACACUACUACUGGAACAAUUGGUUUGCUCAGAUGAACAGUGUUACUUGCAGGACAUGCAUCUUGCUUGUAUAGAGGUCAGU